AUGGAAGUGAUGAUUAUUUCCCCAGAUGAUCGACGCUGAACAAACUGAGCGUUUUUAUUUCUCUUUGAAUUUAUUAAAAGAGAAAUUCAAGCCAGGAAACUGAUCCAU
rfam:Ricinus communis cultivar Hale ctg_1100012304416, whole genome shotgun sequence.